rnacentral:rRNA from 1 species
CAAAGAUUAAGCCAUGCAUGUCUAAGUAUAAACAAAUUUAUACAGUGAAACUGCGAAUGGCUCAUUAAAUCAGUUAUAAUUUAUUUGAUAUUCACUUACUACUUGGAUAACCGUGGUAAUUCUAGAGCUAAUACAUGCGUACAUAACCUCGACUUCUGGAAGAGGUGCACUUAUUAGAUAAAAAGCCAACGCGGGCAACCGCUUGUAUGGUGAUUCAUAAUAAUUAAGCGAAUCGCAUGGCCUUGUGCCGGCGAUGAUACAUUCAAAUUUCUGCCCUAUCAAGUUUCGAUGGUAGGUUAGUGGCCUACCAUGCUUUUAACGGGUAACGGGGAAUUAGGGUUCGAUUCCGGAGAGGGAGCCUGAGAAACGGCUACCACAUCCAAGGAAGGCAGCAGGCGCGCAAAUUACCCAAUCCCGACACGGGGAGGUAGUGACAAUAAAUAACAAUACAGGGCCUUUACGGGUCUUGUAAUUGGAAUGAGUACAAUUUAAAUCCCUUAACGAGGAACAAUUGGAGGGCAAGUCUGGUGCCAGCAGCCGCGGUAAUUCCAGCUCCAAUAGCGUAUAUUAAAGUUGUUGCAGUUAAAAAGCUCGUAGUUGAAUUUUGGCCUUAGUUUGUGAGGUCCAGCCUUCAUUGGUUGGUACCUUUACGAACUGGGCUCCACCUUCUGGGUUAGCUAGUUGUUACUUCGGUGCAGCUAGUGAACCAGAACUUUUACUUUGAAAAAAUUGGAGUGUUUAAAGCAGGCUUUUAAGCUUGAACAUAUUAGCAUGGAAUAAUGAAAUAGGACUUUGGCCUUAUUUCGUUGGUUUCUAAAGCCAAAGUAAUGAUGAAUAGGGAUAGUUGGGGACAUUAGUAUUCAAUUGUCAGAGGUGAAAUUCUUGGAUUUAUUGAAGACUAACUUCUGCGAAAGCAUUUGUCAAGGAUGUUUUCAUUAAUCAAGAACGAAAGUUAGGGGAUCGAAGACGAUCAGAUACCGUCGUAGUCUUAACCAUAAACUAUGCCGACUAAGGAUUGGAUGGUGUUAUAUUUUAUAUUGACCCAUUCAGCAUUUCAGCGAAAGCCAAGUUUUUGGGUUCCGGGGGGAGUAUGGUCGCAAGGCUGAAACUUAAAGG